UAGGGAAGUUAGACUACAUAUUUUGAUAUUUCUCAACAAAAAAACAUUAACAAAUCGGCAAAAAAGUUGCUAGUCUAUAAAAUGUAAAUUCUAGUCGCUGAAUUGCCAACACUACUUUACAGUAGUUUUGUAUGCUACGUGUACUAGUUGAUUGGAUUAAAUUUGUGCCAUUAGCCUAAGUAAGGUUACCUAUUUUGGGACUUAAUUUCUUUAUCCAUGCAGUCUUAGAAACACUGAAGUCCCAAGGACUUCAUCGUGAAGAUGUCCUUGCGACAGUUGGGCCUUUUGAAAUCUUUCUGGGCAGUUUGGAGGCCCUUGUAGGCCCAUCUGAACUUCCAGAUGAGGUAAUGGAUGCCCUAUUUUACAUAAUCAGCAGGAGCCAGCCUGGGACAGAGCCCAUAAAUAGCCAGGCUAUGCGCCUGAUUCUGGAAGGCAGCUCCAGGGCCAGGAGCACUUAUUUUCUAAAAAAAAACAUUCUUAAAGGAGCCAGUGCCGUCUUCGGGCCCUACUCGGUGGGAGAGUGCCACUGGACACUCUUUCACUGCAACUUGAAAGAGGGAACUAUUACAUACAUUGACUCAUUGGGGGACCAUCCAAAGCGUUGCUCCCAAACCAUCCAAAAUUGGAGCCUAUUGCUGUUAGCAGAGGCUGCCAAAGGCCCUGGAAGUUCAUAAACAGGGACCAUGACUUGCAAAAUGACUCUGUGUCAUGUGGAGUGUUCUCAAUAAUGAUAGUUCGGGCAUUUGUACAGUCUGCUACAAGAAGAUGUCAGGGAAGAAAAAGGAGACAUGCUCAUUCUGCUCUACAGAAAAGAGUCCAAAACCAGAGGCAGAAACAGCUGAGAUGGAGACUGCAGAGGCAGUUGAAGUAGCAAAAACGAAGGUGGAGGUUGUUGCAGAUACAUCAGAUGCAGAGGAAGAGGAGAACGAGGAGGCAUCGGAGAAAAAGGAUGGAUUCUAUGUGGACAGCCUGUUGAAGGUGGCGUCUUCAAAGAAAGCUAAAAGAGGAGUGCCAAGGUCUUGCUAAAGACCUAGGAUAUUUGACCAAGGAAAUACCCUUCAAAAUCAUAGGCCAGCAGCUGGCCGAGCGAGGCUGCAGAAGAGAGGAUCAUGACUUGAGGUAAAAUAUGCAUACAGAUAUCUUUUUCCUUCCACUUUUUAAGUCUUUCUCCUUCUGAAUUGGCAUAAUAUUGUUAUGCCAGUGCUUUUACUCAAUUCGUAAUGUAACUUGUCUCAGAGAUUUCUUUUGUUUGUUUACAGUGCUGAACUCGACAUAAUCGAACAAGUGUUGGGCGACAACAUGGACAUGUAUUCAAAGGUCACACACACACUUGGACCCCAAGUAUGCCAGGUUGUGUUUCAGAUCACCAGAGAGUGCCUUGUUGCAAAAGGAAGUGCUGUAGAAAAUUGAAUUUUGACACUAUUUCUGAC
ensembl:lncRNA